AUACGUAGGGGGCAAGCGUUAUCCGGAAUCAUUGGGCGUAAAGAGUGCGUAGGUGGUUUCUUAAGCGUGGGGUUUAAGGCUACGGCUUAACCGUAGUUCGCCCCAUGAACUGGGAGACUUGAGUGCAGGAGGGGAAAGUGGAAUUCCUAGUGUAGCGGUGAAAUGCGUAGAUAUUAGGAGGAACACCAGUGGCGAAGGCGACUUUCUGGACUGUAACUGACACUGAGGCACGAAAGCGUGGGGAGCAAACAGGAUUAGAUACCCUGGUAGUCCACGCCGUAAACGAUGAGCACUAGGUGUCGGGGAGACAAUCCUCGGUGCCGCAGUUAACGCAUUAAGUGCUCCGCCUGGGGAGUACGUUCGCAAGAAUGAAACUUAAAGGAAUUGACGGGG
rnacentral:rRNA from 1 species